AUUCCGCUUUCUGUUGCAGACUUCAGAGUCACCGUGAUCAGCGACCUUUCUCCAGGACAAUUUCUCUUUCUCUACACACAGCAAACAGAGCGGUUUUGUUACAGUGCAAGCCUUUCACAUCACGUGAGGAUCAAGGGCUCAAUUGGUUGUCGUGAGAACAAAAAUGGUGACAAGCGUAUCAAGAAAAUACUGAUCUGGUCUUUAAAAAAAAAGCUGAAGGUUUCUCCCUCCCCGCUGCAACCCCCCUCCCCCUGCACGCCCUACAGUGGGCGAAGCUACAAGUUAUGAAUGUGAAACAUUUCUCAGCCAUCUAGGAUCUCGGAAGUUCGGAAGGAGGGAAAUGUAAUGGCCACAAGAGCAAAGCAGAUGUUUUAAAGAAACAGCUUAUAAACCUCUCCUCAACUGAUCUCCAAUUUGUCGGCUUUCCCAAGGGGGCCAAUGCAGCGGACGCCUGGGGGGCGGGGGGGGGGGCGGGCAGAGUACCUCCGAGCUGCUGGGAUUUAGGAUCCCCCUCCCCUUCAUGUAUUAAACAAAGAAAAACAUUUUGCUAGCUCCCAAACAGGGACUUGUAAUAAACACACCAUUGUUACUA
rnacentral:lncRNA from 1 species